AGGUGGGUUUUCUUUCUCAUCCAUCUAUUUUUUCAUUCUUGCUUUCUUUCUUUAGACAGCUUUCUAGCCCUUUAGCUUGGGAAUGGCUGAUCAGAGAGAGAUGGGGCCCAACGCCUACUAUUCCAUGUUGAAUUUAGACAACUUGAGUCGGAUAUUAGUUUGGUACGAAAUCCCUUCAGACUUUGAUCUUGAGCUUCCUAGGGCAAAUGAACGUAUAGAUAAUCUACCCCUCGAUCGGCUUGCCAUAUAUGAGGAAGC
rnacentral:lncRNA from 1 species